rnacentral:ribozyme from 16 species
UCUUUUUUCUUCUUUUUCUUCUUUUUUCUGGGAGUUUUGCCCACGUCCCGAUCGACGUAUUUGUAAUAAAAACCCGG